ensembl:rRNA 5S_rRNA 5S ribosomal RNA
GUCUCAGGCCGUAUCCAGCCUGAAGGCGCCCGAUCUCGUCUGAUCUCGGAAGCUAAGCAGGGUCGGGCCUGGUUAGUAUCUUGGAUGGGAGACCACCUGGGAAUCCCGGGUGCUCGAGGCU